AACUUAUUCCUUCUCGCUCUUCAAGGACUCGGAGCCGCGGGGUUGGUCCAUUCGCAGAGCUCAGCGGUGGAAUUAGCUCGAAGCUCGAUCAUGGCCGCCGCCGCCGGGCUUGCCGCGCCGCCUCCUACCUCCCGGAUUUCCUCCUUCCCCAGGGCUUUCUCCACCGGGGUGUACAGAAAGACUGUCCUGUGCCCAAAUAUGAAAACUAGACACAUGUUUUAGCCAAUGCAAUUGUAGAACAGCAUUUAUUGGGCCUGAGCUAGUAUUAGCAUUGAUUUCAGAAACCUCAAGACAGCCACCACGCAAAUUUAUCACUGUUUGUCCCCAAAUUUGAAUGUCUAUAUCAAGGAGCCAAGGCAAGCGUGGAAUAAGGAGGGCUUCUGACAGCACCAAUUCAGGACAGUAUUUGAUGUUGAUUUUACCAAGCUUUGGGAACCAACACUUGUUUUCUCUACUCCAUAGAAAACUAGGAAUUCUACUCAGCUUGGGACAAUCUUCUACAGUCAAACUGGUCAGGCUAGGGAAAACAUUGGAGUCAUCUACAUUCCAGUCUUCCAAUUCUGGCAUUGUUUUGAUAAAUAGCCCUUCCAAACAUGGAAACCCCACCACCUGACCACUGCUAUAGAACUCAGAGCCAAUUCUUCUUAGCGCGUGCAUAUUGACUAUAUGCAGCUUCCUAAGGUGAGGGAGGAGUCCCAGUGGAGGAAGAAUUUCCAAUUCAGAACAAUAAUCUAGAUAAAGAUAUUCUAGUGAGCUAAGGCUGAGAUUACUAGCAAGCCAUGAUGGGGUAGUACUGCCCCUAUAGCCUGUAAUAUGGAGACAACUUACAUUUGAAUGUGGUGCAAGACCUUCCAGGACGUGGUAUUGUUCUGAAGGCUCUUGUACACAAGAACCGGCACUCCAUGACAGCCACAGCUCAGUUAGGUGCCUUUUGUCACUCAAUCUAGCCUUUGCUGCUUCUUCAUUGCCAUCAACAUUCUCGAGAUUCUGAACUUUCAACAAACCUCUUAGGUUCCUCAACCUUUUCAGUUGUCCAAUGUCAAAGCCCCUGGUUUUCCUAACACAGAACUUAUCCAACAGAAGCAAGGAAGUCAUAUUGCCAACACAUGGAACUCCUGUGAGUAAAUGUUUUCCUUCAUCAGCAAUCAGAUGCUCAAAGUUUAAUAAGUUGGCUAUCCUUGGAGGUAAAUGAAGAAGGCACGGACAGUGCUUUAUGUUCAAAACUUGUAGUAGGUAAAGCUUGCAUACGGCUUCAGGUAAUUCUUCAAGGCGUGACCAUCUGAGGUCUAGGUAACGCAAAUGUAUGAAGUUACUAACUGCUGCAAGUUGCUCUUUUCGGAAAGUGCAGGGCAGAGACAACAGUCUGAUAGUACUAGGCCAAUUGCUCUGGACAAAGACUACCUCAGAACCUGGAGACCAAAUUGAUGAAGAGGCAGAGAACAUUAUAGUCCGCAAAUUUUUUAGAUGCAGCAAGCCAGCCCAUGAGUUCUUUUGGAUGCGGCGUUUCAUCUGAAUACCAGAACAAUCGAGUGGAUGACAUAAGCCCAUAUCACGAGCAUGAUCAGAAUGAGAGAUAUACAAGUGACAAGCCUCAACUGAGAUAGGGAAUUUACCAUUAGUUGCCUGGAAUUCCCCUUCUGCAACAAGUUGAGCAAGAUCAUGUAACAACCCAGGUAUCAUGUAGUGGCCACUCUCGAUUAUAUGGAAGAAUGAGCAACUGAGUAACUCGUUAAGGUACUCCUUUCCUACAUCUUCCAAUGUCUGAUCCUCUCCAGGUGUUGGAACAAGGCCUUGUGCCAUCCAAGCAAAUAUAAGCUCUUGCUCAGUGAA